rnacentral:rRNA from 1 species
GUCGAACGAAGUAGCAAUACUUAGUGGCAGACGGGUGAGUAACAUGUAGGUAUCUGCCCUUUGGCCUGGAAUAACACGAGGAAACUUGUGCUAAUACCGGAUAAGUCUUUACGGAGAAAGCUUUAUGCACCAUUGGAUGAGCCUGCACUUGAUUAGUUUGUUGGUGGGGUAAUGGCCUACCAAGACUGUGAUCAAUAGCUGAUUUGAGAGGAUGAUCAGCCACAUUGGGACUGAGACACGGCCCAAACUCCUACGGGAGGCAGCAGUGGGGAAUCUUGCACAAUGGAGGAAACUCUGAUGCAGCGAUGCCGCGUGAGUGAAGAAGGCCCUUGGGUUGUAAAGCUCUUUCGUCGGGGAAGAAAAUGACUGUACCCGAAUAAGAAGGUCCGGCUAACUUCGUGCCAGCAGCCGCGGUAAUACGAAGGGACCUAGCGUAGUUCGGAAUUACUGGGCUUAAAGAGUUCGUAGGUGGUUGAAAUAGUUGGUGGUGAAAUCCCAGAGCUUAACUCUGGAACUGCCAUCAAAACUUUUCAGCUAGAGUAUGAUAGAGGAAAGCAGAAUUUCUAGUGUAGAGGUGAAAUUCGUAGAUAUUAGAAAGAAUACCAAUUGCGAAGGCAGCUUUCUGGAUCAUUACUGACACUGAGGAACGAAAGCAUGGGUAGCGAAGAGGAUUAGAUACCCUCGUAGUCCAUGCCGUAAACGAUGUGUGUUAGACGUUGGAAAUUUAUUUUCAGUGUCGCAGCGAAAGCGAUAAACACACCGCCUGGGGAGUACGACCGCAAGGUUAAAACUCAAAUGAAUUGACGGGGACCCGCACAAGUAGUGGAGCAUGUGGUUUAAUUCGAAGAUACGCGCAGAACCUUACCAACACUUGACAUGUUCGUCGCGACUUUAAGAGAUUAAAGUUUUCGGUUCGGCCGGACGAAACACAGGUGCUGCAUGGCUGUCGUCAGCUCGUGUCGUGAGAUGUUGGGUUAAGUCCCGCAACGAGCGCAACCCCCACUUUUAGUUGCCAUCAUUAAGUUGGGCACUCU